CGGGCGGUGGCGCAGAUGUUAGCGCGCUUGGUUUGGGAUCAAGAGGUCGCUGGUUCAACUCCAGCCUGCCCGA
rnacentral:tRNA from 1 species